UCYGGUUGAUCCUGCCGGCGGCCACCGCUAUUGGAGUCCGCUUAAGACAUGCGAGUCGAGAGGGGUCAUGCCCUCGGCGCACUGCUCAGUAACACGCGGAUAAUCUGCCCUAAGGCGGGGAAUAAUCUCGGGAAACUGAGGAUAAUACCCCAUAGUCCACGGAGGCUGGAACGCAUCGUGGAUGAAAGAUUUAUCGCCUUAGGAUGAGUCUGCGGCCUAUCAGGUUGUAGUGGGUGUAACGGACCCCCUAGCCUUCGACGGGUACGGGCUUUGAGAGAAGUUGCCCGGAGAUGGGUUCUGAGACACGAACCCAGGCCCUACGGGGCGCAGCAGUUACGAAAACUUGGCAAUGCGGGAAACCGCGACCAGGGGACUCCAAGUGCUAAUACUUUGUAUUAGCUGUUCUUUUGUCUAAAAAACAAGAGAAGUAAGGGCUGGGUAAGACGGGUGCCAGCCGCCGCGGUAAUACCCGCAGCCCGAGUGGUGGUCAUUAUUAUUGAGCCUAAAGCGUCCGUAGCCGGACUCGUAAAUCCUUGGGUAAAUCGGGCAGCUCAACUGUCCGAAUUCCGAGGAGACUGCGAGUCUUGGGACCGGGAGAGGUUAGAGGUACUCCAGGGGUAAGGGCUAAAUCUUGUAAUCCUUGGGGGACCACCAGUGGCGAAGGCGUCUAACUAGAACGGAUCCGACGGUAAGGGACGAAACCCUGGGGCGCAAACGGGAUUAGAUACCCCGGUAGUCCAGGGCUUAAACGCUGCAGAUUUGGUGUCGGGGGUCCUACGAGGGCACCCGGUGCCGGAGAGAAGUUGUUAAAUCUGCCGCUUGGGGAGUACGGUCGCAAGACUGAAACUUAAAGGAAUUGGCGGGAGAGCACCGCAACGGGAGGAGCGUGCGGUUCAAUUGGAUUCAACGCCGGA
rnacentral:rRNA from 1 species